GAUGAACGCUGGCGGCGUGCCUAAUACAUGCAAGUCGAGCGAACAGACGAUGAGCUUGCUCCUCUGACGUUAGCGGCGCACGGGUGAGUAACACGUGGAUAACCUACCUAUAAGACUGGGAUAACUUCGGGAAACCGGAGCUAAUACCGGAUAAUAUAUUGAACCGCAUGGUUCAAUAGUGAAAUACGGUUUUGCUGUCACUUAUAGAUGGAUCCGCGCCGCAUUAGCUAGUUGGUAAGGUAACGGCUUUCCAAGGCAACGAUGCGUAGCCGACCUGAGAGGGUGAUCGGCCACACUGGAACGGAGACACGGUCCAGACUCCUACGGGAGGCAGCAGUAGGGAACCUGCCGCAGUGGGCGAAAGCCUGACGGAGCAACGCCGCGUGAGUUAUGAAGGUCUUCGGAUCGUAAAACUCUGUUAUUAGGGAAGAACAAAUGUGUAAGUAACUAUGCACGUCUUGACGGUACCUAAUCAGAAAGCCACGGCUAACUACGUG
rnacentral:rRNA from 1 species